UGUUCUGUGACUUAAUUGGUUAAAGCGCCGGUCUAGCGAAAACGAAGUCGUGGGUUUGGCUCCCAUCAGAACAC
rnacentral:tRNA from 1 species